GAUGAACGCUGGCGGCGUGCCUAAUACAUGCAAGUCGAGCGAACGGACGAGAAGCUUGCUUCUCUGAUGUUAGCGGCGGACGGGUGAGUAACACGUGGAUAACCUACCUAUAAGACUGGGAUAACUUCGGGAAACCGGAGCUAAUACCGGAUAAUAUUUUGAACCGCAUGGUUCAAAAGUGAAAGACGGUCUUGCUGUCACUUAUAGAUGGAUCCGCGCUGCAUUAGCUAGUUGGUAAGGUAACGGCUUACCAAGGCAACGAUGCAUAGCCGACCUGAGAGGGUGGUCGACCACACUGGAACUGAGACACGGUCAAGACUCCGACGGGAGGCAGCAGUAGGGAAUCUUCCGCAAUGGGCGAAGGCCUGACGGAGCAACGCCGCGUGAGUGAUGAAGGUCUUCGGAUCGUAAAACUCUGUUAUUGGGGAAAAAAAUAUGUGAAAGUACCUGUGCACAUCUGGACGGUCCCUAAUAAGAAAGCCCCGGCUAACUCCGUC
rnacentral:rRNA from 1 species